GACGAACGCUGGCGGCGCGCCUAACACAUGCAAGUCGAACGGAGCUGAGUGAAGCUUGCUUUUCUUAGCUUAGUGGCGAACGGGUGAGUAACGCGUGAGUAACCUGCCCUGGAGUGGGGGACAACAGUUGGAAACGACUGCUAAUACCGCAUAAGCCCACGAUCCGGCAUCGGAUUGAGGGAAAAGGAUUUAUUCGCUUCAGGAUGGACUCGCGUCCAAUUAGCUAGUUGGUGAGGUAACGGCCCACCAAGGCGACGAUUGGUAGCCGGACUGAGAGGUUGAACGGCCACAUUGGGACUGAGACACGGCCCAGACUCCUACGGGAGGCAGCAGUGGGGGAUAUUGCACAAUGGGGGAAACCCUGAUGCAGCGACGCCGCGUGGAGGAAGAAGGUUUUCGGAUUGUAAACUCCUGUCGUUAGGGACGAUAAUGACGGUACCUAACAAGAAAGCACCGGCUAACUACGU
rnacentral:rRNA from 1 species